GACGAACGCUGGCGGCGUGCUUAACACAUGCAAGUCGAACGCUGAAGCCCAGCUUUUGUUGGGUGGAUGAGUGGCGAACGGGUGAGUAACACGUGAGUAACCUGCCCCCUCCUUUGGGAUAACGCCCGGAAACGGGUGCUAAUACUGGAUAUUCACUGGUCCUUGCAUGGGGGUCGGUGGACAGGGUUUUUCUGGUGCGGGGUGGGCUCGCGGCCUAUCAGCUUGUUGGUGGGGUGAUGGCCUACCAAGACUUUGACGAGUAGCCGGCCUGGGAAGGUGACCGAUCACAUUAGGACUAAGAUACGGCCCAGACUCCGACGGGAAGCAGCAGUGGGGAAUAGUACACGAGGGGCGCAAGCCUGAUGCAACGUCGCCGCGAGAGGGAUGGAGGCCUGCGGGUUGUGAACCUCUUUCGCUCAUGGUCAGGCCGCGACGAGGGUUGUAGUGAGGGUAGUGGGUAAAGAAGCGCCGGCUAACUACGUG
rnacentral:rRNA from 1 species